UGCCUAAACAAAUGCACACCCUUCUCCCAUCUCUCGAGCAUCUGGAAAUAAAAGUCUGUCUAGAAUUCAAAUCCUUUCCUGAAGGGGGAUUGCCGCCAGCAUUAAAAUAUCUUGGAUUUGAUUGUUACAAAGGACUCUUUGAAAACCGCCAGCAUUGGGGUCUAGAAACAGUCAGCUCUAUUAGAGAUCUGAGUAUCUCGUUUCAGGAUGGUGAAGAAGUAUAUACAUUUCCCGAGAGACUGCUUCCUACCUCUCUCACUUGUCUCUCCAUCUCCGACCUUCCAAAUGUUACGACCUUGGAGGAGUUGAGUUGCUUCAACUCUCUUUAAUUGUUAUACAUUGCUAGUUUGCCCAAGCUUUAGAGCUUGCCAGAAGAAGAGCUAGCUUCUUCUCUUUCUCGGUUGGUGAUCUGGGACUGUCCUUUGCUCCAAGAACGAGUCCAGAAGGAGAGAGGGGAAGAUUGGUCCAAGAUUGCUCACAUCGCUUGCAUAGAGAUCAAUGGAAAGGAGAUAUGAUAUGCUAUAUAUGAUGAUGAGUCCCCAGUGCUCUCUGAGGCUCUUGACUUCUCGACUUUCUACAAGCUUCUGAUGUGUACUUCAUGGUUCUUGACCGAGUUAUAACUUCAUCUGAAAGGAGUAAACAUUGUAGUUGCUGAUAAUUCAACCGUGUUGGCACUAUCAACCUCUACAUGCCCUUCAGAUUUUGUACUUCAGCACUUGCCAUCCCAUUUGGAUUUUCUCGGCAAUUAAUUACCGGGGGCUGACAAUUUCCUCCAAAUGACAUCAUUGUUUUUCCAUUGUUUGUUCUUAAGAAUUAAUUCAACUUGUGAUUAAUUAUGUAUCGUCCACCAGGUCCAACAACUUUGAUUCAAUAUAUUCGUGCUAAAUGUGGGUUGAUGACAAUUGAUGACCCCAUCCUAAUGAGGACAAAAGCAAGCUAUUGUAACCCUCAAAAUUAACUCAAGCUUAGCUCACCAGAGUUACCAGGUCUUUUAAGUUGCAAGCCAAAAGAAAGGAAGGAAGAAGUCUCUGUAGGCUGUUUGGAUCCUUGUAUAUGAUAUAUGAAAUAAGUUCAGUUUAAAUUAUUAUUACCAUUAGAGAUUAAUGGGUU